rnacentral:lncRNA from 1 species
UUUUUUUCUUCAUAGGGUUUUGGGAAGACUGAGGCAAUCGUUGCUGAAGUCAGUGUUGUAAUGGUGAAUCGGGAUUUUUAAUAAAGUGGGUUUGAUUACUCUUGACUGUUUUGUGAAAUCGAGUUACGUCUGUGAUGAAGAGUUAAAAGGGUAUCUAUAGGAUUGAGUAUGUGGAGUGAAUGAAAUUUAUUGGGUUAAUCUAACAAGACAAUCAGUAGAUACAAGAUCGUGAGUAUAAAGCGGUAUCGAAGAUUAGCAAUUUGGGUUGUUCGGGGUUCUCUGUAACAUCUAGAGACCUACCGGUUGGGGUAAAAGGGACUUCGACAAGCAGUCGAAGGGCAUCCGUAUAGAUUUACAGUAUAUUUUUGUAAUCAUUUAUAUUCCAACAGUCAAAAACUGAUAGACUGCUUGACUAUUGGCGAAUCUCCAUACUACCUUCUACAGCCAGACGCCCGGCGCGUUCUCGAGCAGGAAAGCACAUAAUACGACACCAAAGAACACUUAACUUUUCUUCCUACUGUCCACUCUCUUAUACCAAUAUAAUAACAUCCACGACAACAAUUUCAGUACCCUGUGUAAUUCACGAACACACAAGCAUAUUCCAAACCCUGGAACGAACAACUUCCAAUCCACAGAAUCCAAUCAAGAAAAUUCCUUCGAUUACAAUUCCUCUCCACUAAACUUACAACCAUGUAAUAAAUAGUGACUGAAAACUUCCAUACGUCCUCAAUCUUUCACAACAAUUGAUAAACAGUGAUCCAUAAAUAACUUCGUAAAUCAAACAUUAAUUCAUUAAAUCGAUUCUCUUCACUUGAAUCAACACUAACAGAAAAAAAACAAAAAAACUAAGAAGAAGAGAUAGCACCAAGCUUAUCCCCG